UGUUUAUAUUUUGUGAAAGUGAAAUUGGGGAUUAACCCUAUUUGUGAAAUCCCGGAUUGUGUGACUAGGAUUACCGGCACCUGAUCAGGAGCACCCAGGGGUUUGGAAUCUCUGUUAUUGCGGGACAACAGGAAAGGGUAAGUCAGUGGCUGAUCAACCAUGAGUUUGAGGAGCAAAAACGAAGAAUGUACAUGUUCAAGCCAUAUCAGACCAAGCGGGUUAAGGGUCUAUCAGUGUUGAACUUUUGAAUUCUGUUUUGCCGCUUAGGUCGGCUAGAAAGAAAAGACUUGUAAUAAGUUUGUAAUUAUUUUUGGGAUCCCAACUAUUUUGAAAGUUUAAAUAUAUUACAAGUUUAUUUUCAUUCUGUUUAAUAUAAAAGUUUAAAUUCUGCGCUA